ACCAAGCUGAUGAGUCCCAAGUAGGACGAAACGCGCGUUCUGGAU
rnacentral:hammerhead_ribozyme from 1 species